UUUAUUGGUUUUUCGUUUUUCGUAAUAGGUGAAGAUUGAGCAGUUAAAAACAAACCCUUGAUUCUCCUCUCCGGUGGAAUAGUUAAUAUUUUGUUGAUGUUUGAGCCAUUAUUCGCAGCUUGGUGGGACUUGACCAGUUUGCCAAAGUAAUGUUGCUAAUUUCUCCCAGCUAAGUAUUGAAAUUUGUCAAGGUAGUUGAAAGAUGUAUGGCUGCCGGUUGGCCUGGGAUUUGAUGGGUUUGUGGCUCGACAGAAGCUUCAACAUAUUGCUCAAUUAUUGAGCUGGCUGGCAUCGUUUUGCAAGUGAAAUGACAGGAUGAUGAUACAAUGGCUUGCAUGAACAGAAGGCAGCUACAAAGACGGCUGAAUCUUGGUUGGUGAAGCGAUGGACUAUUCGAUGAUAUUGUUUGAGUGUUUAGGCAGUCACGUGCUGGGGGGAGUGUCAGCCAAGUAUUGCUUUUCUGUGCACUCUCACACCAAUAGCACCUUGGCUUCGACUGUGAGUUUGAUGCAAAACAUUGCUCAUUCUCGUCUAGUGUUCAGAUACAAAUCUGCAGGGUGAAAGAAAUUGCGAAAUGGAUAGAGGAGACUAUCCAAGAAAUGGAACAGGCUGAAUAUUGAAAACGACAUUGUUGAAGGUACAUAUACAAAUUUUAUUUAUGAUUGGAAGCGCACUUAUAUAUAUAACAAAGUUUUAACGGUUAGAAAUUGGAGUUCGUUUUGUUUUUAGUUUAACUAGUAGUUUGGAUGUUAUGUUUUAUGAGAGUAGACUGUAGACAAUGUAUUUUUAUAGGAAAUUACAAUAAUUGCAUAGUAAAAAAAAAAUUGAAACUAAACUCUGAAAUUUAUAUUGGUUUAGUUAGUUUGAACCGAGUAAAAUUUAUUCCGUUACAAUUAGAACAUGUAGGUGUGUAUACAAGUGGUUUUCUUCCCCAUAGUUUAUGCAUAUGAACAUGAAACAACAUGGGGAAUAAGACAGGAAGGAGAAAUCAAUCAUAUAACUUUAGGACAAUUAUAUAUGCUAGUAGGUAAACUAUACAUGCGUAUAUAUAUACAUAUACAUACAUAAAUCUCACCAUCUAGAAAGAAUAUGAUAAUGAAAGUGUUGGUGGUGACUUAUUAGCUAUGGUGUAUGAAUGAAGGUGCACAUGUGGUGAAGAAUAUUUGUAGGUAAUGAAUGUUAACUAACAGUGGUCAUAAAAUAAGACAAACCACAAACUUCUACUUUAAGACUAUAUAUUAAAUAAAAUAAGUCGAUCGUGCACUAUAUAUCAUUCUAUUAUUACACUAAUAAUUACAUUUGGAUUUGUUUGGUUUGGACCACUUAUUCAACAAUUUCACUACUCCCUCGUUCAUGCAUUUUGCCUACUUACAUUCAUCAUUUGUAUUUUUCACUCAUAAAUUUAUUAUUCCUACUAUUGCAUAUAAGUUGUAAUAAUUCUCUCGAGUGGUGAACAACAUAUAUUAUAUUAUAAUUCAACAUAUGCUAUCUUAUAACACUGUAUAAACAUAUGCUGGUCACCCCUAUAGCAUAUAAUACUACUUGACCGGAUUAGCCUAGAAUCUAAAACCUUUUCUUGAUUAGAAGAAAAGUGUGAAUUAUAUAUAUGUAAUAAACUUUAUACAUGCUACAAUAUAACCAAGAAUUUUCAUUUAUUUAUUUUGUUGCAUUGCGCGCGGUCGAAUUACAUGUUAUUAUAUAAGAAUGGGGUGUUUACUCGAGCUUUGAUGUGCUUAUACUCGAUUUAUAUGUUAUUUGAGUUUCUAAUGUCUUGAAUUUAGCUCAAACUCAAAAGUAGUUUUUUUAAUAUGUGGAUUAUCAAGAUUAGGUCAACAAUAAAUUAGAUUAUAUUACUUAGUGUCUAAAUCAGUCUACCUAUGUAAAAUUAUUGUACGUAUAUUGGCUGCUUCUUCUUGUUAUUUAUUUAUUUUCAAUUUUGAAAGAAUGAAUAGCUGCCCAUUUCAUUAUUGUUAUUAGAAGAAUUAUGAUGUCAAGUGGUAUGAUAUUCUUGUUGAAUUAUAUAGAUAGGCUAGCUUUUCCAUAUAUAUUAAAUAAUAACAAAUGGUUGCAAUAAACAUGCACGUGCUACAUUUAUUUUAUAUGAUUAAAUAAAUUCUACAUAAUGAGAUCUAAGCAUAUAAAUAACGUAUGAUAAAAAUUUUAGGCGAAAAUCUUAGUGGGACAUAUUUCUAAAUAAGUAGGAUCUGUUACCAUAAAUAUUUAUAAUUAAUUGAGAGCCUUUAGGGUUUUGAGCUGAUUUAUAAUUAAUUAAUAUUGUAAAUAGAUUCAAAUUUUUAAUACUAUUAAACUACUUGAAAACCCUUUUUACUUUGGAUAAGCUAGCUAUUGAUUAAUAAUGUAAAGAUGUAAGAUAUAGGCUUUGUUGUUUUCUUGUGAUCUAUAAUCAUAAUAAAUUAGAAAUAAUAAAUGUAGUAUUAUAUUCAGGGCGGA